rnacentral:lncRNA from 1 species
UUGAAACGAAGAAAUUAAAUGUAAAAAAAAAAAUACGUAAAUAAAAAAAAAUUGUCGAACAGAGGGAAGGAGAUUUUAGAGAGAUCAAUUGGUGAGUUCUGAGAGGUUGUUGGACAAAGAGAGAGAAAGGGAGGGAAAUUUUGCUAUAUAAAAUAUUUAUUUAUAGUACGACAUGACAUGACGAAUCGUUGUCCGCGUAGUAAAAUUUUCUUCUGCAACUCUUAUUAUUUUAUUAUUAUUAUUCUGUCCUUUUUUCGUUUAGCUUGCAUAUUUAAUAUAUAUUUACUCAAUUUAAUUAUAAAAUAUAUUUUAAAUAUUAAUAUUAGAUCAAUUAAAUACUAAUAUUU